UACGUAGGGUCCAAGCGUUAUCCGGAAUGAUUGGGCGUAAAGGGUCCGCAGGUGGCAGUGUAAGUCUGCUGUCAAAGAAUGAGGCUUAACCUUAUCAAGGCAGUGGAAACUACACAGCUAGAGUACGGUCGGGGUAGAAGGAAUUCCUGGUGUAGCGGUGAAAUGCGUAGAGAUCAGGAAGAACACCGGUGGCGAAAGCGUUCUGCUAGACCUGUACUGACACUGAGGGACGAAAGCUAGGGGAGCGAAUGGG
rnacentral:rRNA from 1 species